GACAUGAGAGGAUUGUGUUAAGUGUGUUCCGUAUGAGUGACUCUGUUUUCGGGAUAAAUAACUUGCUGAAGUCGACACGGCACUGUUUCCUUGGAGGAGAAGAUGAGUGCGUGGGAAAGCAAAGCCGCGGGCCCGGUGUGGAGGAGACUUUUUUCUCGUUUUUUUAUUUUUGUAGGAAGCUCUCUGUCUCUUCACAGCUCUGAUGAAAAUGGCCGGCGGAGCGAGGCCGGAUUCCUGUACACAAUGACGCAGUCACUGCACAUUACGUCGAGACUCGCUGAAAGUCUGCAUUUGCAGUGCGGGAAAACGACGCCAUUGUACCUGCCUGUACUAUGACGUACUAAGACCCACUAUGAGCCAGUAUGAAGGAGCUUCCAGUUCAUCCAUACGGACCUUGCAUCAGCAUUGAGAAGUUCAGGAGUCGGCAGAGAAGAAAGAGGCUGAUUGAAGCGGGACAGAUGACAUGGAUCCAUCCUUCCACAGCCAGGAGCUCACCGACCUGUGUGCCACACUUCAAAUAAGACUAGAAGCUACACUGGAUCUCACAGCUGCACACGACAGACGUCUACACACCGCAGAUGUCUACACACUGGGGCAGAUUCCGUUUUUUCUUCCCUGUACAAUAUGUUCACAUAUACAGUGCCUUGCAUAAGUAUUCACCCCCUUUGGACUUUUCUACAUUUUGUCAUGGUAUAACCACAAAUUAAAAUUUAUUUCAUCGUGAGUUUAUGUAAUGGACCAACACAAAAUAGUGCAUCAUUUGGAAGUGGGGGGAAAUAUUACAUGGAUUACACAAUUAUUUACAAAUAAAAAUCUGAAAAGUGUUGAGUGCAUAUGUAUUCACCCCCUUUACUGUGAAACCCCUAACAAAGAUCUGGUGCGACCAAUUGCAUUCACAAGUCACAUUUGCAAGUCACAUAAUUAGUAAAUAGGGUCCACCUGUCUGCAAUUUAAUCUCAGUAUAAAUACACCUGUUCUGUGACGGACUCAGAGUUUGUUGGAGAUCAUUACUGAACAAACAGCAUCAUGAAGACCAAGGAGCUCACCAAACAGGUCAGGGAUAAAGUUGUGGAGAAAUAUGAAGCAGGGUUAGGUUAUAAAAAAAUAUCCAGAGCUUUGAACAUCUCUCUGAGCACCAUAAAAUCCAUCAUAAGAAAAUAAAAAAAGAAUAUGGCACAACCACAAACCUACCAAGAGGAGGCCGUCCACCCAAACUGAAGAGUCGGACAAGGAGAAAAUUAAUCAGAGAAGCAACCAGGAGGCCCAUGGUUACUCUGGAGGAGUUGCAGAGAUCCACAGCUGAGGUGGGAGAAUCUGUCCACAGGACAACUAUUAGUCGUCUACUCCACAAAUCUGGCCUUUAUGGAAGAGUGGCAAGAAGAAAGCCAUUGUUGAAAGGGAUCCAUAAAAAAUCCCGUUUGGAGUUUGCCAGAAGCCAUGUGGGAGACACAGCAAACAUGUGGAAGAAGGUGCUCUGGUCAGAUGAGACCAAAAUUGAACUUUUUGGCCUCAAUGCAAAACGCUAUGUGUGGCGAAAACCCAACACUGCCCAUCACCCUGAGAACACCAUCCCAACAGUGAAACAUGGUGGUGGUAGCAUCAUGCUGUGGGGAUGCUUCUCUUCAGCAGGUACAGGGAAACUGGUCAGAAUAGAGGGAAAGAUGGAUGGAGCCAAAUACAGGGAAAUCCUUGAAGAAAAUCUGAUGCAGUCUGCAAAAGACUUGAGACUGGGCUGGAGGUUCAUCUUCCAGCAGGACAAUGACCCUAAACAUACAGCCAGAGCUACAAAGGAAUGGUUUGGAUUAAAGAAUGUUAAUGUCUUAAAAUGGCCCAGUCAAAGCCCAGACCUCAAUCCAAUAGAGAAUCUAUGGCAAGACUUGAAGAUUGCGGUUCACAGACGGUCUCCAUCCAAUCUGACUGAGCUUCAUCUUUUUUGCCAAGAAGAAUGGAAAAACCUUUCCAUCUCUAGAUGUGCAAAGCUGGUAGAGACAUACCCCAAAAGACUUGCAGCUGUAAUUGCAGCGAAAGGGGGUUCUACCAAGUAUUGACACAGGGGGGUGAAUACUUAUGCACCCAACAGAUGUCAACUUUUUUGUUCUCAUUAUUUUUUGUGUCACAAUAAAAUUUAUUUUGCACCUCCAAAGUACUAUGCAUGUUUUGUUGAUCAAACGGGAAAAAGUUUAUUUAAGUCUAUUUGAAUUCCAGUUAGUAACAGUACAUAAUGGGAAAAAGUCCAA